AAAUAGCCCCGAUUGAAAUGAAAAUCCUUUUUAUAAUUUUUUAAAAUUAUAAAAAGAUUGUAAUGGAAAGCGGGAACAAUC
rnacentral:sRNA from 1 species